GGGGGCAGGGGAACAGAACAACUCAACACAGAGGCAUGAAGGGAAGCCUUAAACAUGUGCUCCACAGAUUUUGAUGUAAAAUGUAUCUUUUUUUUGUAGUCAGAAGAUAGCAUAGUGGCUAGAAUCCAGUUCAAGUUGGUUCAACAAUUUGUAUCCAGUUCAAGUUGGUUCAACAGUUUGUAUGGAAGUGAACACAUGUGUCUUGGAAAGAUUUUAAGACAAGAAAAAGUGGCUUGUUUCUGUUAACGUUUCUUCACAUGGGAAGCUUACAUACCACUUUCCUAUGCUACAUAUCUGCUAUGUAACUGAGAGUAUAGGUGCUGUAUUUAGCCUUAUAGUUCUUACUGAGUCGUGUCUCUUUCUAUCCAACCAUCAUUUAAUGAUGCAGGUCCGUACUUUGACAAUUUUUUAUUACAUUUGAUAAAAUUAACCAAAUGUACUGUUGCUUUGGUAUUGUCCCAAGACAAUGUAUUUUCUGUCAGACAUGUUGAUUUUUAAUGAUAUACAGCAAGAACAUCUGAAAGUAGUGCACUAUUAAUGUAUCAAAGGAAACAAUGGGAACUAUGGAAACUAUGUUGAAAACAACUAUUUCUUGAUAUUACAUGUGUCUUCUGUCAUCAUCCCAGAUUCAGUAAAAAUGAGGAUACAGACUAUGUGAUAUUAGAAAAUUUAAUAUAACUAUUAUAUGGCAUUACAGUAUGACCUGUAAAUUUCCUUCUAUUCGUUUGUUACACAUUUUAUUCAUUCCAUUGAUGGCGUGUCAAGUGGCAGGCUUUUUUCUUGUUUGUUGGAGAGAAUGAAUACAUUUAUUCUCAGAUUUA